rnacentral:rRNA from 1 species
CCCUAUGCUGCCGAGAAAAGCCUCUAGUGAGUGUCGUGGCGGCCCGUACCCCAAACCGACUCAGGUGGUCAGGUAGAGAAUACCAAGGCGAUCGGGUGAACUGUGGUUAAGGAACUCGGCAAAUUGCCCCCGUAACUUCGGGAGAAGGGGGGCCUCCGCUGGUGAUCAGACUUGCUUUGUGAGCUGGUGGGGGUCGCAGAGGCCAGGGGGAAGCGACUGUUUACUAAAAACACAGGUCCGUGCGAAGUCGUAAGACGAUGUAUACGGACUGACGCCUGCCCGGUGCUGGAACGUUAAGGGGACCGGUUAGCGCACUUCGGUGUGCGAGGCUGAGAACUUAAGCGCCAGUAAACGGCGGUGGUAACUAUAACCAUCCUAAGGUAGCGAAAUUCCUUGUCGGGUAAGUUCCGACCUGCACGAAUGGCGUAACGACUUCCCCGCUGUCUCAACCGCAGACCCGGCGAAAUUGCACUACGAGUAAAGAUGCUCGUUACGCGCAGCAGGACGGAAAGACCCCGGGACCUUCACUACAGCUUGACAUUGGCGUUUGGAACGUCUUGUGUAGGAUAGGUGGGAGACUGUGAAGCUGUCACGCUAGUGGCGGUGGAGUCAUUGGUGAAAUACCACUCUGGUCGUUUUGAACGUCUAACUUCGGUCCGUGAUCCGGAUCAGGGACAGUGUCUGGUGGGUAGUUUAACUGGGGCGGUUGCCUCCUAAAGAGUAACGGAGGCGCCCAAAGGUUCCCUCAGCCUGGUUGGUAAUCAGGUGUCGAGUGUAAGUGCACAAGGGAGCUUGACUGUGAGACCGACGGGUCGAGCAGGAGCGAAAGCUGGGACUAGUGAUCCGGCGGUGGCAUGUGGAAGCGCCGUCGCUCAACGGCUAAAAGGUACCCCGGGGAUAACAGGCUGAUCUUCCCCAAGAGUCCAUAUCGACGGGAUGGUUUGGCACCUCGAUGUCGGCUCGUCGCAUCCUGGGGCUGGAGUAGGUCCCAAGGGUUGGGCUGUUCGCCCAUUAAAGCGGUACGCGAGCUGGGUUUAGAACGUCGCGAGACAGUUCGGUCCCUAUCCGCUGCGCGCGCAGGAGACUUGAAAGGAGCUGUCCCUAGUACGAGAGGACCGGGACGGACGAACCUCUGGUGUGCCAGUUGUUCCGCCAGGAGCAUGGCUGGUUGGCUACGUUCGGAAGGGAUAACCGCUGAAAGCAUCUAAGCGGGAAGCUCGCCUUGAGAUGAGGUCUCCCACCACGUGAGUGGGUAAGGCCCCCGGGAGACGACCGGGUUGAUAGGCCGGAGGUGGAAGCAUGGUAACGUGCGGAGCUGACCGGUACUAAUAGGCCGAGGACUUGAUC